GGGCGCCACCGAGGAAGCGCCCACCGGGCUCCCGGGGCUGCCAGGCCCCAAAUUGAAGAUAGAUUCCAUUCAUCCUUUCUAAUGUCUACACCAUAUUUUGGAUAACAUGCCAUCAUCUCACAUUGCGUUGAAAGAAGAAACCAGAAUGUUGGGGGCUGCUCAAAUAAUUAUUGAUCUGAUCCACUGUGCUCUGGGAAAAACCUGGAUACAUUUAUGUAUUAAUCAAUCCACUUCAUUUUCAACAAUCUACUUGCCUAUAGUCUUUAUAUCAGGAUUCCCAUUUUUGGCAUCCUUAAUUUUGAUGUAUGCCAUAUGGAUGGAUUUAAAGUUUCGGCCUUGCAAUAAUUGGCAUACUUCUAAUUGCAUGUGA
rnacentral:lncRNA from 1 species